rnacentral:misc_RNA from 1 species
GAUGAAGAACGUAGCGAAAUGCGAUAAGUAAUGUGAAUUGCAGAAUUCAGUGAAUCAUCGAAUCUUUGAACGCACAUUGCGCCCGCCAGUAUUCUGGCGGGCAUGCCUGUUCGAGCGUCAUUUCAACCAUCAAGCCCCCGGCUUGUGUUGGGGACCCUGCGGCUGCCCGCAGGCCCUGAAAACCAGUGGCGGGCUCGCUGUCACUCCGAGCGUAGUAGCAUAUAUCUCGCUCAGGGCGUGCUGCGGGUUCCGGCCGUUAAAAGCCUUUUUUUUACCCAAGGUUGACCUCGGAUCAGGUAGGAAGACCCGCUGAACUUAAGCAUAUCAAAAGCGGAGGA